rnacentral:rRNA from 1 species
CGGGGGGGGGUGCUAUACAUGCAAGUUGAGCGCUGAAGGUUGGUACUUGUACCAACUGGAUGAGCAGCGAACGGGUGAGUAACGCGUGGGGAAUCUGCCUUUGAGCGGGGGACAACAUUUGGAAACGAAUGCUAAUACCGCAUAAAAACUUUAAACACAAGUUUUAAGUUUGAAAGAUGCAAUUGCAUCACUCAAAGAUGAUCCCGCGUUGUAUUAGCUAGUUGGUGAGGUAAAGGCUCACCAAGGCGAUGAUACAUAGCCGACCUGAGAGGGUGAUCGGCCACAUUGGGACUGAGACACGGCCCAAACUCCUACGGGAGGCAGCAGUAGGGAAUCUUCGGCAAUGGACGAAAGUCUGACCGAGCAACGCCGCGUGAGUGAAGAAGGUUUUCGGAUCGUAAAACUCUGUUGGUAGAGAAGAACGUUGGUGAGAGUGGAAAGCUCAUCAAGUGACGGUAACUACCCAGAAAGGGACGGCUAACUACGUGCCAGCAGCCGCGGUAAUACGUAGGUCCCGAGCGUUGUCCGGAUUUAUUGGGCGUAAAGCGAGCGCAGGUGGUUUAUUAAGUCUGGUGUAAAAGGCAGUGGCUCAACCAUUGUAUGCAUUGGAAACUGGUAGACUUGAGUGCAGGAGAGGAGAGUGGAAUUCCAUGUGUAGCGGUGAAAUGCGUAGAUAUAUGGAGGAACACCGGUGGCGAAAGCGGCUCUCUGGCCUGUAACUGACACUGAGGCUCGAAAGCGUGGGGAGCAAACAGGAUUAGAUACCCUGGUAGUCCACGCCGUAAACGAUGAGUGCUAGAUGUAGGGAGCUAUAAGUUCUCUGUAUCGCAGCUAACGCAAUAAGCACUCCGCCUGGGGAGUACGACCGCAAGGUUGAAACUCAAAGGAAUUGACGGGGGCCCGCACAAGCGGUGGAGCAUGUGGUUUAAUUCGAAGCAACGCGAGGAACCUUACCAGGUCUUGACAUACUCGUGCUAUUCCUAGAGAUAGGAAGUUCCUUCGGGACACGGGAUACAGUGGUGCAUGGUUGUCGUCAGCUCGUGUCGUGAGAUGUUGGGUUAGUCCCGCACGAGCGCACCCCUAUUGUAGUGCAUCAUAGUGGCACUCUACCGAGACUGCGUGAUAAUCGGAGAAGGUGGAUGACGUCAUCAUCAUGCCAUAUGACUGGACUACACCGUGCUACCAUG